rnacentral:lncRNA from 1 species
UGGCAGUUUGUGGUGGCAAAAGCUCAGGAGAAGGUAGAGGAAUGGCGACAACAGGCAUUUGUUUUAUCAAGAACAAUCCCGCCUCAAGAUGCCGUGCUUCAGGGGGCGCUGCAGAUUGUGGGAGACUUUAGCCAACAGCUACCUGUGCUUGCUGAACUCAGCAGUCCAGCACUGAAGAGCAAGCACUGGAAAAACAUAUUUAAAGGUAUGGGACUGCUAUACGCCCCUGCGUGGAAUCUUACUGUGGCGGACCUCGUGUCAAAAAAGCUAUUGGAGCAUCAAAAAGCAAUCAAAAAGAUCUCCAGAGAUGCUAAAGCGGAGGCAGAUAUGGAGCAAGUUUUCCGGAAGAUUCAGCGGAGCUGGGAGGGGGCUCUUUUCCAUCUUGCAAAGUUCAUAAUCACUGUGUGGGAAGAAGAGAAACCGCAGAUGGGGAAUUUCCGAAAGAAGAAGCCCUCUAUCACACAGCAAUCUUGUGACAGUGGCACAUUCACCAUAAUUGGUUGGUUAAACAUAAUGUUUGUUUAACAAUACUCACCGCUUCGUGCUAUAGCAUGUUCUCUUGGAAAGACAGCAGCUAAUACAGAUAUAGGGAUAGGCUAUAGCUAUAAGCUAAUGAUGCAAGCAGUCAUUCUCUUUAUUCUUGUUGUUCCAUGAGUGACAUACUGAUGUUCCAUUGUUGAUUGCUUAUAUCAUUCAGGUCUGGACACACUCCAUUCUGAAACAGAGGACAGUGUAAUGACCUUUUCAAACAUGCUGCUCUCUCCUCAUGUGGCUGAUGUCAGACAGGACGUGGA